GUCUACGGCCAUGCCACCUUGAACGUGCCCAAUCUCGUCUGAUUGCAGAAGCUAAGCAGAGUCAGGCCUGGUUAGUACUUGGAUGGGAGACCACCUAGGAAUACUGGUGCUAUAGGUG
rnacentral:rRNA from 1 species